rnacentral:rRNA from 1 species
UACGGGGGGGGCAAGCGUUGUUCGGAAUUACUGGGCGUAAAGGGCGCGUAGGCGGCCACGACAAGUCAGUUGUGAAAUCUCUGGGCUUAACUCAGAACGGUCAACUGAUACUGUCGGGCUAGAGUGCAGAAGGGGCAACUGGAAUUCUCGGUGUAGCGGUGAAAUGCGUAGAUAUCGAGAGGAACACCUGCGGCGAAGGCGGGUUGCUGGGCUGACACUGACGCUGAGGCGCGAAAGCUAGGGGAGCGAACGGG